rnacentral:rRNA from 1 species
UUAGAGUUUGAUCCUGGCUCAGAUUCUUUGCUGGCGGCAGGCCUAACACAUGCAAGUCGAGCGGAUGAAGGGAGCUUGCUCUCUGAUUCAGCGGCGGACGGGUGAGUAAUGCCUAGGAAUCUGCCUGGUAGUGGGGGACAACGUUUCGAAAGGAACGCUAAUACCGCAUACGUCCUACGGGAGAAAGCAGGGGACCUUCGGGCCUUGCGCUAUCAGAUGAGCCUAGGUCGGAUUAGCUAGUAGGUGAGGUAAUGGCUCACCUAGGCGACGAUCCGUAACUGGUCUGAGAGGAUGAUCAGUCACACUGGAACUGAGACACGGUCCAGACUCCUACGGGAGGCAGCAGUGGGGAAUAUUGGACAAUGGGCGAAAGCCUGAUCCAGCCAUGCCGCGUGUGUGAAGAAGGUCUUCGGAUUGUAAAGCACUUUAAGUUGGGAGGAAGGGCAGUAAGUUAAUACCUUGCUGUUUUGACGUUACCAACAGAAUAAGCACCGGCUAACUUCGUGCCAGCAGCCGCGGUAAUACGAAGGGUGCAAGCGUUAAUCGGAAUUACUGGGCGUAAAGCGCGCGUAGGUGGUUCAGCAAGUUGGAGGUGAAAUCCCCGGGCUCAACCUGGGAACUGCCUCCAAAACUACUGAGCUAGAGUACGGUAGAGGGUAGUGGAAUUUCCUGUGUAGCGGUGAAAUGCGUAGAUAUAGGAAGGAACACCAGUGGCGAAGGCGACUACCUGGACUGAUACUGACACUGAGGUGCGAAAGCGUGGGGAGCAAACAGGAU